rnacentral:rRNA from 1 species
UACGAAGGGGGCUAGCGUUGUUCGGAAUUACUGGGCGUAAAGCGCACGUAGGCGGAUAUUUAAGUCAGGGGUGAAAUCCCGGGGCUCAACCCCGGAACUGCCUUUGAUACUGGGUAUCUCGAGUCCGAGAGAGGUGAGUGGAAUUCCGAGUGUAGAGGUGAAAUUCGUAGAUAUUCGCAAGAACACCAGUGGCGAAGGCGGCUCACUGGCCCGGUACUGACGCUGAGACGCGAAAGCGUGGGGAGCGAACAGG